rnacentral:rRNA from 1 species
UACGAGGGGGGCAAGCGUUGUUCGGAAUUAUUGGGCGUAAAGGGUGCGUAGGCGGUUCGGCAAGUCACGUGUGAAAUCUCCACGCUUAACGUGGAGGCGCCACGUGAAACUGCCGUGACUCGAGUCCGGUAGGGGAGUGUGGAAUUCCCGGUGUAGCGGUGAAAUGCGCAGAUAUCGGGAGGAACACCAGUAGCGAAGGCGGCACUCUGGGCCGGUACUGACGCUGAGGAGCGAAAGCGUGGGGAGCGAACAGG